rnacentral:rRNA from 1 species
GAUGAACGCUGGCGGCGUGCCUAAUACAUGCAAGUCGAGCGAACAGACGAGGAGCUUGCUCCUCUGACGUUAGCGGCGGACGGGUGAGUAACACGUGGAUAACCUACCUAUAAGACUGGGAUAACUUCGGGAAACCGGAGCUAAUACCGGAUAAUAUAUUCAACAGCAUGGUUCAAUAGUGAAAGACGGUUUUGCUGUCACUUAUAGAUGGAUCCGCGCCGCAUUAGCUAGUUGGUAAGGUAACGGCUUACCAAGGCGACGAUGCGUAGCCGACCUGAGAGGGUGAUCGGCCACACUGGAACUGAGACACGGUCCAGACUCCUACGGGAGGCAGCAGUAGGGAAUCUUCCGCAAUGGGCGAAAGCCUGACGGAGCAACGCCGCGUGAGUGAUGAAGGUCUUCGGGUCGUAAAACUCUGUUAUUAGGGAAGAACAAAUGUGUAAGUAACUAUGCACGUCUUGACGGUACCUGAUCAGAAAGCCACGGCUAACUACGUG